AAAUGUUGUCCGUCAUGAAAACCAGGAACUGCUGUGUGGAGAAGUGUUGCGUUGGCAUUCAGGAGAAUUUUGGAUCAAAGUACCUCAAAAACGAUCAAUUCCAACCCCCAGUUCUUACAAACACUUUAGUUUUGGGUCGGUAAUGAAGAAAUAUCUCAUGUGAAAGAGAAUUUUUCGGGAUAAACAGCAACUGUACGAAGGACAGAAAAUGGGAAGGAAGGAUGCCAGCGCGACCCAGAUGCCAGUAGAUCAGUACAGGAAGCAGAUCGGCAAGCAAGAUUACAAAAAGACCAAAUCAGUCUUAAAAGCGACUCGACUGAAGGCUGAAGCAAAGAAGAAUACCUCUGGUUUCAGGGAUGCGUUCCUGGUCGUUUUAGCAAUCCUGUUUUUUGUGCUGUGCGUUUACGCCUUCUUCUACCUCAACCUGAGCACAGAGAUCAACCUGGACUCAGACUAACUCCUGAUGGAGUUUGGAGAUCUUGACCUCCCAGUCUUAAACCAAAGGGGAACACAGAAAGACAAACAAAAAUGUAAAUCGGCUGCGGCGGCCGCCGUCACGUCAAGACAAACGUUGGCCUCACAUUCCAGUGCACAGAGCGCUCCUCCUGUAUAUCUGCAGAUCACAAAGUGUGAGAUUAGAAUUCACAAAGCCCGUUCCAAGGUGUGUGCGGAAUACCGAACAACAGCACACCUGUCACAUGCGCACGCAGCACGGCAACUCAGGAAAAUGGUUGAAAAUGCGACCCGCUUCUUCCCGCUGAAUGUGGGGAUGAAUAAUGACUUAAAAGUGGCGUGAAUUAAUGCUUUCUCACAAUGAACACAUGAAUGUUUUCCUCCCAUCUUGUGCAUAUUGUUCUCUUGCUGAUAGUGCGAUGUGUGGAGGGAAAUGUGAAAGGUGGUGGAUUUUUUUAACUGCUUCGCUCUUUGUGCAGCAGGCCUGAAAGGUGUAAGAGCUGACCUUCAAUUAGCCAUCUAAGCCCUAAGUGCUUCCACUCAGAGAAUAGUUGUUUUCAGUGUAGUACAAUGUCAAGGACUUUUUAUUAUAUUACAUAUGCACUGUCUCUCCUUUUUUUUUU